UAGACUUGAGAAUGGACGAGGUAGGCGGAAUUCGUAGUGUAGCGGUGAAAUGCAUAGAUAUUACGAAGAACUCCAAUAGUGUAGACUGCUUACCAGACCAUAUCUGACACUAAGGCACGAAAGUGUGGGUAUCAAACAGGAUUAGAUACCCUGGUAGUCCACACAGUAAACGAUGAAUACUAACUGUUUGCGAUAUACAGCAAGUGGUCGAGCGAAAGCGUUAAGUAUUCCACCUGGGAAGUAUGCCGGCAACGGUGAAACUCAAAGGAAUUGACGGGGGCCCGCACAAGCGGAGGAACAUGUGGUUUAAUUCGAUAAUACGCGAGGAACCUUACCCGGGCUCGAACGAUAUUUGAAUACAUCCGAAAAGAUGUAGCUAGCAAUAGCAAAUACCGAGGUGCUGCAUGGUUGUCGUCAGCUCGUGCCGUGAGGUGUCGACUUAAGUGUCAUAACGAGCGCAACCCUUACCGAUAGUUACCAUCAGAUAAUGCUGGGGACUCUAUUGGGACUGCCACCGUAAGGUGUGAGGAAGGAGAGGAUGACGUCAAAUCAGCACGGCCCUUAUGUCCGGGGCGACACACGUGUUACAAUGGGAGAAACAAAGGGUCGCUACCUGGCAACAGGAUGCUAAUCUCGAAAAUCUCUCUCAGUUCGGAUUGGAGUCUGCAACUCGACUCCAUGAAGCUGGAUUCGCUAGUAAUCGCACAUCAGCCAUGGUGCGGUGAAUACGUUCCCGGGCCUUGUACACACCGCCCGUCAAGCCAUGGAAGCUGGAAGUACCUGAAGUAUGUAACUGAAAAGAGCGUCCU
rnacentral:rRNA from 1 species